AUUGAACGCUGGCGGCAUGCUUUACACAUGCAAGUCGAACGGCAGCGCGGGCUUCGGCCUGGCGGCGAGUGGCGAACGGGUGAGUAAUACAUCGGAACGUGCCCAGUAGUGGGGGAUAGCUCGGCGAAAGCCGGAUUAAUACCGCAUACGACCUGAGGGUGAAAGCGGGGGAUCUUCGGACCUCGCGCUAUUGGAGCGGCCGAUGGCAGAUUAGCUAGUUGGUGGGGUAAAGGCCUACCAAGGCGACGAUCUGUAGCUGGUCUGAGAGGACGACCAGCCACACUGGGACUGAGACACGGGCCAGACUCCUACGGGAGGCAGCAGUGGGGAAUUUUGGACAAUGGGCGAAAGCCUGAUCCAGCAAUGCCGCGUGUGUGAUGAAGGCCUUCGGGUUGUAAAGCACUUUUGGCGGGAACGAAAAGGACUGUGCCAAUACCACGGUUCGAUGACGGUACCCGCAGAAUAAGCACCGGCUAACUACGUG
rnacentral:rRNA from 1 species